GACGAACCGUCCGAACGUUAUUCGGAAUCACUGGGCUUAAAGCGUGCGUAGGUGGUUCGUUAAGUCUGAUGUGAAAGCCCUGGGCUCAACCUGGGAAUGGCAUUGGAAACUGGCGACCUAGAGUGCGGUAGAGGGUAGUGGAAUUCCCGGUGUAGCAGUGAAAUGCGUAGAUAUCUGGAGGAACACCGGUGGCGAAGGCGGCGCUCUGGACUGCAACUGACACUGAGGAACGAAAGCCAGGGGAGCAAACGGG
rnacentral:rRNA from 1 species